GAUGAACGCUAGCGGCAGGCCUAAUACAUGCAAGUCGAACGGUGUAGCAAUACACAGUGGCGCACGGGUGCGUAACACGUAUGCAACCUACCUUACAUUGGGGGAUAGCCUUUCGAAAGGGAGAUUAAUACCGCAUAAGACAGUAACUAGGCAUCUAGUAGCUGUUAAAGAUUUAUCGAUGUAAGCUGGGCAUGCGUCCAAUUAGUUAGUUGGCGAGGUAAUGGCUCACCAAGACGAUGAUUGGUAGGGGAACUGAGAGGUCAAUCCCCCACACUGGCACUGAGAUACGGGCCAGACUCCUACGGUAGGCAGCAGUAGGGAAUAUUGGGCAAUGGGCGCAAGCCUGACCCAGCCAUGCCGCGUGCAGGAAGAAGGCGUUAUGCGUUGUAAACUGCUUUUAUACAGGAAGAAACGACCCUUGCGAGGGGCAUUGACGGUACUGUAUGAAUAAGCACCGGCUAACUCCGUGCCAGCCGCCGCCGCGGUAA
rnacentral:rRNA from 1 species